rnacentral:misc_RNA from 1 species
GAUGUAGAACGCAGCGAAAUGCGAUAAGUAGUGUGAAUUGCAGAAUUCAGUGAAUCAUCGAAUCUUUGAACGCACAUUGCGCCCUUUGGUAUUCCAAAGGGCAUGCCUGUUCGAGCGUCAUUUGUACCCUCAAGCUUUGCUUGGUGUUGGGCGUCUUGUCUCUAGCUUUGCUGGAGACUCGCCUUAAAGUAAUUGGCAGCCGGCCUACUGGUUUCGGAGCGCAGCACAAGUCGCACUCUCUAUCAGCAAAGGUCUAGCAUCCAUUAAGCCUUUUUUUCAACUUUUGACCUCGGAUCAGGUAGGGAUACCCGCUGAACUUAAGCAUAUCAAUAAGCGGAGGA